rnacentral:rRNA from 1 species
UACGGAGGAUGCGAGCGUUAUCCGGAUUUAUUGGGUUUAAAGGGUGCGUAGGCGGACUGUCAAGUCAGCGGUAAAAUUGAGAGGCUCAACCUCUUCCCGCCGUUGAAACUGGUGGUCUUGAGUGGAUGAGAAGUACGCGGAAUGCGUGGUGUAGCGGUGAAAUGCAUAGAUAUCACGCAGAACUCCGAUUGCGAAGGCAGCGUACCGGCAUCCAACUGACGCUGAGACACGAAAGCGUGGGGAUCAAACAGG